rnacentral:rRNA from 1 species
AAUCAACGCUGGCGGCGUGCCUAACACAUGCAAGUCGAACGCGAAAGGUUCCUUCGGGGACCCGGUAGAGUGGCGGACGGGUGAGUAACACGUGGGUAAUCUGCCUUUGGGUGGGGAAUAACCCUUCGAAAGAGGGGCUAAUACCGCAUAACGCAGCGGCACCGAAUGGUGACAGUUGUUAAAGUGGGGGAUCGCAAGACCUCACGCCUGAAGAGGAGCCCGCGCCCGAUUAGCUAGUUGGUGCGGAAUGGCGUACCAAGGCGACGAUCGGUAGCCGGCCUGAGAGGGCGGACGGCCACGACUGGCACUGAGAGACGGGCCAGACUCCUACGGGAGGCAGCAGUGGGGAAUUUU